rnacentral:rRNA from 1 species
CAAUAGCGUAUAUUAAAGUUGUUGCAGUUAAAAAGCUCGUAGUUGGAUUUCUGGUGGGAGCGAUCGGUCUGGCGCUUAGCGCGAGUACUUGCAUCGUCUCCGGCCAUCCUUGGGGAGAGUCUGUCUGGCAUUAGGUUGUCGGGCAGAGGAUCCUCAUCGUUUACUGUGAAAAAAUUAGAGUGUUCAAAGCAGGCUUAUGCCGUUGAAUAUAUUAGCAUGGAAUAAUAAGAUAGGACUUUGGUACUAUUUUGUUGGUUUGCACACCAAAGUAAUGAUUAAUAGGGACAGUUGGGGGUAUUCGUAUUCCGUUGUCAGAGGUGAAAUUCUUGGAUUUACGGAAGACGAACUACUGCGAAAGCAUUUACCAAGGAUGUUUUCAUUA